UUUUUAAUAUAUUUUUGCUCCACGCGAGAAACAUGAUGCGCGUGCGCGUAUUUCCGCAAUGGUACCGCGUUGUGAAAGGGGUCGAAACCGCGGUAGAACUCGUGUUGGUGCGGUAGAGAGGGAAGGGUGGAAACGGUGGAAAACCCGUCUUUGUUGUUGAGCGGGAGAAUACGUGGUACGGUGUGGUAUCCGUUUUUAGGAGCGGUGAAAAAGAAUGUACGGAGGUGUUUAUGGUGGAGCUGGGAGGGGCUAGAAUAAGUGACGAAGGGGGGAGUAACAUGUCGGAUGCGAUCAUACCAGCACUAAAGCACCGGAUCCCAUCCGAAGUUAAGCGUGCUUGGGCGAGACGAAUACUAGAAUGGGUGACCUCCUGGGAAGUCCUCGUGUUGCAUUCCC
rnacentral:rRNA from 1 species